rnacentral:lncRNA from 1 species
UUUGGUAGAUUUCUACUUUUUCUAUAGAAAAGUCAAAUUAAUCUAUUAGUUUAGUAUUCUCAUAUUGUAUGGAAUCAUGUUUAUAAACAGUGGCUUUUCCACACAGAUUUUUGAUGUAUGGAAUGAGCUGGACUAUGACAUACUUGAUGAAUAAUUGGAUUGAGGAGUUAGAAGUGCUUAUGUUGAAUAAUGAAAUUUAGCUGUAGAUUGAAGUGCUUAAGGGGUUGUGGAUGUGUUUGCACACCAAAUUUGAGAGUUGAUUUCAGUUUUUUUCUUGCUUCUCCAUGACUUGUUCAUAAAAUAGAGAAACGUAAGAGAUGCAAAUCAAAUGAAUUUGUGAAGUGUCCCUUUAUCAAAAAAUGUAAUUAAAUUGGCUAAUGUUCCUUUAAUACAGUUUAACGAAGACUUGUAACUACAAUUGGCUAGUGGUGCUGAGUUAGUUGGACCUUGAGUUGGAGACACAAAGAAUGUGUUUAAAUUUGAAUCAUGAAAAUGAGGAGCUUGAGAUAAUUAACUUGAGUUGGAGCGGAAACAAAAGUUAGAAUUGCGUAAGCUGUUAUUAAUAAGACACAUUUCAUUGUAAUCAAGUUAAUUAAUAAGACACUUUUUUUUAUAAACUUAUUUCAAGAGCGAGUCAUGGAGAAGCAAGUCAUAGAGAAGCUAAUUUGAUCACAAAGCUUAUCGAAUUUUUUUAAAUGCUGUUUAGCUAAUGAUUGUUUGGCUGGAGGAUAGGUUCUUUCAUGUAAUCGUGAGGAGUCUUUAACUAGUGGUGAAGAGUUAGUUGGAGAAUGUCUUUUGCAUGAUGAAUUUGAUGUAUGGAAUGUGACAGAUUUUAGUAUCUAGAAUGAGCUAGAGCUUGAGGUUAUGAUAAAAUUGAGCUGGACCUUGAAUUUGAUGUAUGGAAUGUGACAGAUAGCAUAAAUCCUUGACCAUUACAAGUGAGUAACGAUUAGGUUCCAACUUC